UACGUAGGCAGCGAGCGUUGUUCGGAGUUACUGGGCGUAAAGGGUGUGUAGGCGGUUGUUUAAGUUUGGUGUGAAAUCUCCCGGCUCAACUGGGAGGGUGCGCCGAAUACUGAAUGACUUGGAGUGCGGGAGAGGAAAGUGGAAUUCCUGGUGUAGCGGUGAAAUGCGUAGAUAUCAGGAGGAACACCGGUGGUGUAGACGGCUCACUGGACCGUAACUGACGCUGAGACACGAAAGCGUGGGUAGCAAACAGG
rnacentral:rRNA from 1 species